rnacentral:rRNA from 1 species
UACGUAGGGGGCGAGCGUUGUCCGGAUUUAUUGGGCGUAAAGAGCGUGUAGGCGGUUCGGUAAGUCUGUCGUGAAAUCCUGGGGCUCAACCCCGGGCGUGCGAUGGAUACUGUCGGGCUAGAGUGCUGAAGGGGCAACUGGAAUUCUCGGUGUAGCGGUGAAAUGCGUAGAUAUCGAGAGGAACACCUGCGGCGAAGGCGGGUUGCUGGGCU